GUGAGCUUCGGCAGAGAGAGCAUCUGUGAGCCAAAUUCACCGGUGCUGGGUUUUAAGGAGAAGAGCCAAGAGUGACACGUGGAGGAGUCCCAGAGGCUUAGUGGUAUAGAUCCACUGUCUCUUUUGGGUAUUUAAUUUAUGAUUUAUAAUGUGUUAUAUUGCCAAUAUUAGGACUUUUUUUAUGUUUAUUGUCAAUUAUAUGAAUAUAUAAAUGUAAUCAUGCCUUUCAAACUAUUUCUAUUUUUGGUACAAUUUGGAUGACUGUAAUUUUAAUAUUUGGUUUACUUUGGAUUGGUUAAAAUGGCAUGAUUAUAAGGCCAAAUAACUGGCUUGUGUUGAAAAUUGACUAAA